ensembl:lncRNA
CAGUAUAAUGCAAUUGAGUUAGUCCAAGUAAUUAUUGUAAAAUAAAUAUAGCUAUUCAAUAUGAUGUAAUUUAGUUAGUUCAACUAAUUAUUAUCAAAUAACUAGAGCUAUCCAAUAUAAUGUUUAAAAAAACAAACGUUUUUUAAAUCCAAUUAUUAUAUUUUAUACAAAUAUAACCACUCUAAGAAGGGCUUGAAUCGUAUAUAACUAUAUAUGUAUUUGUUCCAGAUCCUGCACCUUCACCACAUUUGGAAAGGCAAGUAUUUCACUUAACGCACAACUUUGAAAAAUAAGGGUCUUCACUCUUGUAAUGACUAUUCAAUUGCACAAUAAUGUGUGGGAUAUUAUACAAUUUAUUGUUGUGAUCCUAUUGAAAUGUCCUAAUUAUGUCAUUUUCAAGACACGGAGAACUUCCAAAAGCCUGGAACAAAUACUGAAAAGUAUUGAAGAAUUGGCACAACCUGGGACCAAUAUAAAGGGUUGCAGUUAUUACAAUGCUGAUGGCCUUUGGGGAGAUGUCUGCAAAAGCCUGGAAGUGCCCAAUACAUCAGUGAAUCGGCAAAAACUUUAUAAGGCCGCUGCUCAUCUUUGGAAGGACAUCUCAGGGAUAAAGAGCAACUUAAAAGUGACAGAUGCUGAUGCUGAGGAGAGGGAACACAUCGCCUCUUCGGAUGACAAUGAUGUUGGAGACACUCAUCUGUCUCCACCUUUGGAAAAAGAGGAUGAAUGUUCAUCUUCAUUUGAAAAGGAUAAUGAAAAGGAAUCCAACCUGGCUGAAUCUGCUUACAUGUCAACAGAGAGCAGUGAGGCAGAGGAGACAAUUUUCUCAUGCUGUGUGCCACAGCAGCCAUGUUUCUUUUUUCUUGACAAAAAGGAAUGGCAAGACCUGAGGGAAUCUCAGAGAGGAAAUUGUUUUCAAGGGUUACAGUGGACAAAUGUGAUAGCAAGUGGAAUAAGGUCACUUCACCCAUACUGCAGCUUUGGUUUUAGACGUCACGCAUUAAAAACCCUGCGGUCACAAAGAAGCGCACCCAUCUUCAAAUGUAAUGGAUACUGUCGGUUUGAAGAUUGCCCCAUUGCUGUUACUGUCGAAGUCAGAGAUGAGGUCACCCUGAAGGCAGAUGUGGUAUUCACAGGAGGAGAUAAGGUGUGCCACAGUACCACUGAACUCAAAAGAAGGCCAGUCCGUGCAGAUGCACGUUCAUCAGUUGCAGAAACCCUUGAAACGAAGUUACCAAGAAGCCUUUUUUUGGACUCUAUGCAGAAAAUUCCUGAGAUGGUGAUAGAAUCAGGCUGCAGGGACGAAGCACCGACAAAAGAGGUUCUAAGGAACAUCGCAUACACCCAAAGACAACUUAAAAGACCUCACACCAACGAACUUUUAAGUCUCCAAAUGCAAAUUGACCAAAAAACAGGAACAGACAAUGAAGUCCUGCAGAGGGUUAUGAUGCACCCAAAAGGAAUAAUGCUGUGGUCAAAAAAGACACUGUCCAUUUUUUACCAAAGAUGCAAGGAAGACAUUGUGUAUCUGGAUGCAACAGGAAGUAUAGUUCAGAAAGAAAGUGGCAAAAGUCCACCAUACUACGUGUAUGAAUUAGUUGUGCGGAAUCCUUCCAAGGGGGCAUCUCCUCUUCCUGUUGCAACCUACCUGACUUGUGACCACACCACAGCAUCUGUCACCUACUUUCUGCGGAAGUUGUAUGGGAAAAGGGCAGUGCAGAGGCCAGUGAUGAUCAUUUGUGAUGGCUCUUUAGUGCUUCUGCAGUCCAUUUCUUUUACAUUCUGCAGACUAAGCCUAGAGGAUCUUCUGCAGAAGUACUUUGAAGUCAUCACUGACCAACAUCAAGCAGAAAGGUUUGACCUUCCCAUUCUUCACAGAUGCUUAAGCCACAUCAUGAAGAAUGCAAAGGAUCUGUGCAAAAAGCAUGUUCCAAACCAUUACAAGCUGGCCAUGCAUAUAUUUGGGCUACUUGCAUGUUCCACAACUCUAAAAGAGAUGGAUGAGGUCAUUCUCAGUGCCACAGUCCUGUUCUGUAGUCCUUGCACUGGAGACAAUGUGUCAAAGCACUACAGCAACCUCCAAGUCCUUAUGCAGCAAAUGGGAACAUUUGAAGUUGAGGAAGAAAAAAUUGUUGCUGAGGACUACAAGUGUGAUGUCACUGCCACACCUAUCCAGAAUCACUUCCAACAAAAAAUUGACAGGGCACCUCUUGACCAUGAUGGUGAAGAAAACAACUAUCAUGCACCAAAUUUCAUUGCACGGUUGGCUCAAUACUUCCUGCCGCAUGCCGCUCUGUGGUCUGGUCUGAUGCUAGGGGAUAUUGGCCGUCAUGGUACAGGCCCAGCAUACCAGCAUUUCAGCAAGAUCCACAAAGAAGUCAGUCAGUCCAAUAAACAGAACUUUACACAAGACAACCGGACACAGGGCAUUAUGGAAAAAAGUCAGUGGGACCUCAAGAGAAUACGAUUCCAGAGAAGGCGACUCACACGACUUGAUGAUUUUGUGCAGACAUACCAAAAAACUCAUGAUGCACUGAUCAUUGAAUACCAAGACAGAGAAAGAACCAGAAAGAAAUCUUUUCGAGUGGAAAUGGAGCAGUGGAAGAAGAAAAGUCAGGGGCGUAAAGGAGUAUACGUCUCCCGACUAGUGAAGAGUCUCCCAUUCAAAGAAAUCAGAAGCAAGAAGUCUCCAAAGGCAGCCACCAAUGAACCCAAAGAAAAACCCGAAGCUGUGAUCUCAACACAGGAUGAUUUGGAAGCUGCAGACACUGCAGCGGAAAAGGCAACCACAGCCAUCGUACACCCUCAGAAAGCAGCAGUGCAGCAUAUAAGAAGGAGAAAAUCCAAUGUUGAAGGGCCUAUUUGGAAAAACUACAGUGCUACGGGAAAAACUGUUACAAGAAGGCUCUCCCGACCAGCUAAGAUAAAUACUCUGCAAGAAAUCCUUCACCAUGACUACUGGUUGACCAGUGAUGCCAUGGAUCAAGCCAGCUACCUCAUGGCCAAGGAUCAUGACCACAUUGACGGAUUUCAAUCGGUUUUACCGUUUAGCGCAAUUGCACAAGGAGGGAUUGUGGGGACUCCUGAAAAGAAAUUUGUUCAGAUGUUGAACAUCAGACAGAGCCACUGGAUAACAGUCAGCAAUUUGUUUUGCAAUGACACUCAACUCGCCGUUUAUGACAGCCUACGUAGCCCUCUGGACCCAAGAACACUGCAGGCACUGUCCUGGCUGCUAAGGCCACAGUCUGACACUUUGGAAGUUUUGCAACCAGCAGUGCAGCAGCAAGCAAAUUUGAGUAACUGUGGGGUGUUUGCAAUAGCCUUUGCAUAUGCAUUAUGCAAGGGUCAUCAACCAGAACAGUGCAUAUUCAAUGAAGGCAGGAUGAGGGCACAGCUGUACAAGUCAUUCACAAGGAACAACAUCACAUUUCGAAUGAAUGUUGAAGACAGAGAAGCUCAGUCAAACAUCACAACAACUACAGUACCAGUAUACUGUGUUUGCAGAACAGCUCAUUACAAAGAGAUGAUGGUGCAGUGUUCACUGUGCAAAGAGUGGUAUCAUCCCACAUGCGUCAACAUUCCGAGAGCUGUGAUCGGGAAUGAUGACAUCUGGCAGUGUUCCAAAUGUGAACAAGCCAAUAGCACUUGAGGUGGAACAUUUUAUUCACAUAGACCACGUUGGUGGAGCACAAAGUUCUCAAAAAUCGUACAAUUCCUAUUUUCUUUUUUUUUAAGGUUAUUUUUUUGUCAUUUUCAAGCCUCAAAGAGCUGAAAUGGGGAGAAAGAGAGAGAGGUGGGAUGACCCGCAGCAAAGGUCCACGGGCCGGACCCGAACCCGCGACCACUGCAACGAAAGCCGGAGCCAACACGGCACAUGCUCCACCCACCAUGCCACCGGAGCGCCCCACAAUUCCAAUUUUCAAAGAUUAUUUAUCACAUUUGUGUCUAUGUUCAGAGUUUGUACUAUUAGAAAUUUAUUUAUGUUUAAACCAACAGGAAAAAAAACAUUUGCAGGUUUCCGUUUUGUAUUUAAAGUCGACACUUUGACAGUUAAUGUAAAAAUGGCAAUUCUUGUAUUUAUUUGAUACUAUUUUAGUUGGCCUAUGACAUUUUUCAGAAAUAUAGUUAUGUACAUUUUAUUUGAAAGUUGGAUUGUUACUAAAGACUUUAUUGGGGUUUUCAAUAAAGAAAACAAAUGAGCAAACCUCUGUCUUACAUCAUGAGGACAGUAUCCAGCCAAUAUGCACAUUGAGAGUGGGAGGGAUUUUGAGUUGAAUUUAUUGUAAAACCGUACAGUAAAAUGUCUUG